rnacentral:rRNA from 1 species
UGGGGAAUAUUGGACAAUGGGCGCAAGCCUGUUCCAGCAAUGCCGCGUGUGUGAAGAAGGUCUUCGGAUUGUAAAGCACUUUAAGUUGGGAGGAAGGGCAGUUACCUAAUACGUGAUUGUUUUGACGUUACCGACAGAAUAAGCACCGGCUAACUCUGUGCCAGCAGCCGCGGUAAUACAGAGGGUGCAAGCGUUAAUCGGAAUUACUGGGCGUAAAGCGCGCGUAGGUGGUUUGUUAAGUUGGAUGUGAAAUCCCCGGGCUCAACCUGGGAACUGCAUUCAAAACUGACUGACUAGAGUAUGGUAGAGGGUGGUGGAAUUUCCUGUGUAGCGGUGAAAUACGUAGAUAUAGGAAGGAACACCAGUGGCGAAGGCGACCACCUGGACUGAUACUGACACUGAGGUGCGAAAGCGUGGGGGGCAAACA